rnacentral:tRNA from 1 species
GCCUGGCUGGCUCAGUCAGUAGAGUGUGUGACUCCUGAUCUGUAGGUUAUGGGUUCGAGCCUCAUGUUGGGUG